rnacentral:rRNA from 1 species
CCUACGGGGGGCUGCAGUCGAGAAUUUUUCUCAAUGGGGGAAACCCUGAAGGAGCGACGCCGCGUGAAGGAUGAAGGUCUUCGGAUUGUAAACUUCUGUCAUUAGAGAACUAGUAUCUGAAGAGGAAGAGACGGCUAACUCUGUGCCAGCAGCCGCGGUAAUACAGAGGUCUCAAGCGUUGUUCGGAUUCAUUGGGCGUAAAGGGUGCGUAGGUGGCAAGGUAAGUUGGAUGUGAAAUCCCGGGGCUUAACCCCGGAACUGCAUUCAAUACUGCCCUGCUAGAGUACUGGAGAGGAGAUUGGAAUUUACGGUGUAGCAGUGAAAUGCGUAGAUAUCGUAAGGAAGACCGGUGGCGAAGGCGGAUCUCUGGACAGUACUGACACUGAGGCACGAAGGCCAGGGGAGCAAACGGGAUUAGAUACCCUUGUAGUC